CUCGUCCGCCACGCGGACGCCGCGCCCGCUGCCGCGCCGACCCGGUUACUCUGGCCCGGUGCGCCCACCGCGGAGAGUUCCACGGACCGCGCAAAGCCGACAGCCGUCGCACAUCAGGGAGCCCCUCCAUG
rnacentral:sRNA from 1 species